AUUAGUCCUUUAAACAGACAUGAUUAAAUAUUGAUAAAUCAACUAACUCCUCACCUCACUGCACCCUAAUUGGACUUAAACAGCAGUGUUUGUUUUGGUGUUCAUCUUUUAUUUUCAGACUGAGUCACUGUAACCUCUCAGAGAGAAACUAUGAAGCUCUGUCCUCAGUUCUCAGCUCCCAGUCCUCUAGUCUGAGAGAGCUGGACCUGAGUAACAAUGACCUGCAGGAUUCAGGAGUGAAGCUUCUGUCUGCUGCAGUGAAGAAUCCACACUGGAAACUGGAAACUCUCAGUCUGUCAGGCUGUCUGAUCACAGAGGAAGGCUGUACUUCUCUGGCCUCAGCUCUGAGCUCCAACCCCUCCCAUCUGAGAGAGCUGGACCUGAGCUACAAUCAUCCAGGAGACUCAGGAAUGAAGCUGCUGUCGGCCGCACUGAAGGAUCCACGCUGGAGACUGGACACUCUCAGGGCGGAGCCUGCUGGAGUGCGAUGGCUGAGCCCAGGUCUGAGGAAGUAUUCCUGUCAACU